GUGAGAGGAAAGUGGCUUCACAAUCUCCGAGCACCUUCCCGGCCAGAGCUUCCUUCCUCAUCAAGUACAGGGCCCACUUGGCCAGGGUCAGGAGGAAGUUGACCAGGAGGUGAGGACAUGGUGA